UUCAGGGGGACCUCAUCAGCCAAGUAAUAUGCACAUAGGAGUGCCAGGAACCUGCUAGACAUCGCCUGUGCUUUGCCCUGUAUUUGGAAGCCCAUUGGGAAAUUUGAAAAGGUCUGAGAAGAAUCAUCCCGUCUGUUAAGUGAUAAUUUGAGAAGAAAGAAACAUCGUCCUUGAAGUGCAGAGAGUUGCUUCUCUCUUGACACCUUAGAGGCAAGUCCAGGGAGCAGAAUUAAGUGACAGUAAAAGGAAAAGAUCACAUGUAUCACAGGAAUGAGAAAUCCUUAUGGCUAAGUCAGCUUUCCACAGUUAGGCUACACUUUGAUGUUGGCAAAAGUUUCCCUAGUGGGAGAGACAUAGGGAAAAGGGCAGAGGAAUAAAGAGACAGCUUCACUUACCCAGUCUAAGUAAAGAGGUGAACAGUUCAUCCAUCUAAUAUUUAAUAUGGGCUUCUCUUGUGAAGAGCUGGAAAUGCAUUUAUUAAAGUCUGCAUAAGCAGUUGAGUUAUAACCUCCAAAAUAAACUGGAAGAAAUAAAGGAAAAGAAACUGACUUACUGAAAAGUUUAUAAGCCCUCACAGAGAGCCAAGCUGCAAACAAGAAUCCAUGCAGAGCUGAAGGGAUGUCUCCGGGGGAUUAGUUGCAGAAUUGUUUUCUCUAGUGGAUGCUGUAGUGUAUGGACCGAUUCCUCCAUUGAUGGCCAAACUACUCAUUCCCCCACCUGCUGAGAAUCAGAGUGUGGACGGCUGAUGACUCAUGACUGAGUUCCUUACCAGGAAUUAACCUUGACUGGGCCCAAGUGUAUGCUCCCUGUCUGGGUUCAAAUUAAAAUCCAAAACGUAGUCUAUGUGGGAGUACAGAUACCCAGUCAUCAUGUCUCAGUUUGGGGCAGCUCUGAUGGGUCCUCCCAGUUCUAGAACCAGCUGUAGUCUUUAUUGUAAUGGCAUCAUAGUUCAGCUUGCCCUUGCCUAAUUCUGCUGCCUUCCUUUCUUCACUGGUGUUCUUUCCCAAACAACUCGGGAAUAAAUUC
rnacentral:lncRNA from 1 species